rnacentral:tRNA from 1 species
CGUAGCGUGGUCGAACGGUGUUAGGUGGUGGAUUAAGACACCAGUGUCUUCGGGGGCGUGGGUUCGAAUCCCACCGCUACCA